UACGUAGGGUGCAGGCGUUAAUCGGAAUUACUGGGCGUAAAGCGUGCGCAGGCGGUUGUGCAAGACAGAUGUGAAAUCCCCGGGCUCAACCUGGGAACUGCAUUUGUGACUGCACGGCUGGAGUGCGGCAGAGGGGGAUGGAAUUCCGCGUGUAGCAGUGAAAUGCGUAGAUAUGCGGAGGAACACCGAUGGCGAAGGCAAUCCCCUGGGCCUGCACUGACGCUCAUGCACGAAAGCGUGGGGAGCAAACAGG
rnacentral:rRNA from 1 species